ACCAGAUUGGAGCCAGAAACAGAGCGAAGAUGGUGCACGGAUGGUCCAUCUAGCGCUCAUAAUGGAAGGAAGAGUUUACACUAACAGGAAAAAUGUGAUGUCAAACACACCACAGUGCACACUAUGGCAGGGCAUCUCAGAUCAGGCACGGUGAAGCCCACCAUGUGUGUUUGAGUGGAGACAAGGGCAAGUCUGGAACAUUGGAUACUUGAAGUCUGAGCGGGAGCUGCUUCUGAGCAUGACCAUGGAUAAGCACGUGGGGAUGGAGAAACAACUAAGGCCCUCUGUUCUGAUGACAGGGGACUUCCUUUGCAGGGCUUAUGGUCUCCUGCCACCCCCCACACCUGAGGAAACUCAGGGAAUUAAAUGGUCAGAUCUG
rnacentral:lncRNA from 1 species